rnacentral:rRNA from 1 species
UUUGGCGGUACUUUAGCCNAUUCCGAGGAACUUGUGGAGUAAUCGAUAAUCCACGAUGGACCUUACUUGACUUUGUUUAAUUCAGUAUGUAUACCGCCGUUAUUUGAAGAUUUUAUAAGAAUUUAAAUUUUCGAGAUGUUUAAUUAAACUGUAUAUCAGGUCAAGGUGCAGCUUAUAGUUAAGUUUUCAUGAGUUACAAUAAUUUUAUUUAUACGGAUUAUAAUAGUUUAAAAUUUUUUUGAAGGUGGAUUUGAUAGUAAAUUUCUAAAGAUAAAGAUUUUGAUUUUAGCUCUAAGGUAUGCACACAUCGCCCGUCGCUCUUGUUAAUAAAAUAAGAUAAGUCGUAACAUAGUAGAUGUACUGGAAAGUGUAUCUAGAAUGACAAUUUAAAGCUUAUUUAGUAAAGUAUUUCGUUUACAUUGGAAUGAUUGUUGUGCAAUUCAACAUAGAUUGAUGUUAUUUAAUUAUUAAUGUUUUUUAA